rnacentral:rRNA from 1 species
AAACCGGGAAGCUAAUACCUGAUAAUAUUUCAACCGCAUGGUUCGAUAGUGAAAGGUGGUUUUGCUAUCACUUAUAGAUGGACCCGCGCCGUAUUAGCUAGUUGGUAAGGUAACGGCUUACCAAGGCUACGAUACGUAGCCGACCUGAGAGGGUGAUCGGCCACACUGGAACUGAGACACGGUCCAGACUCCUACGGGAGGCAGCAGCC